AUAAAAUAAAAUAAAAUAAAAUAAAAUAAAAUAUAUAAUGUGAUCUGUGUAAGGAUAUUUCAAUUAACAACGCUAUUCUUCCAAGUUACAUAUAGCCACUGUUACAUUCCUUUCUAUCUUGCAGCCUCUCUCAAAAUAUGUUUAUUAGUUAAACAUUCUGUUUUGGACUGUGGACAGUUUAUUCAUAUAGUUCAUGUUAAUUUAUUUAAAUGUAUUAUGUUAAUUGUGCACAUAACCGCGAACGGACUGGGAUAUAGACUUUGUCCAGUAACAUUAAAAAUAGAGAGGUCAGAGGACAGAACGAACAGAAAAACGUUUUGAGAAACAGGGGAUUUUCUGUAAAAUGUUGAGUUUUGUAGCGAUAAAUAUAUGAAAACCUCACGGCUAACGAAAAUUACACGCCGUCUAUACCACAUAGCAAGUUAGAGACAAAACAAAGGUUAAUUAACAUUCCUUGAGAGAGUUGGAAACGAAGCAGUCAUUCGAUCCAGACCUAGUCAGAUCAUCUCAGCCAAAUAAGCGCCGUCAAUUGCCCUUUUGCAUCUAAAAUUGUUUGCCAUUAGACAGAGUAAAACGAGGAAGCAGGAGCAUUAGAAAAAUUAGGGUAUAUUUGUCUGGAUAGAGCGAGAUUAAGAGAUGAGGAUAUGCAAAACUUGUGUUGAUAACAAAUUAAAUCAUCACCGUUUAGCAACCACAACACAAAGAAACCCUCAAUUACAAGAUGGCAACAUUCAAUUGCUUGACUAAUUAAAAAUUACUGUUAUUUCUAAUGUAAGCUCCCUGAGUAGAAAGCUUAUUUAUUUCACGAAUGUUUGAGAGAAGGUUUUAUUGGGGAGGAG